AUGAAGUUGUGGCUGAACUGUGUUUUCCUUGUAACUCUUUUAGAAGGUAUCCAGUGUGAGGUACAGUUGUUAGAGUCCGGAGGAGGCUUAGUACAGUCUGAGGGGUCCCUGAAACUCUCCUGUGCAGCAUCUGGAUUCACCUUGAGUGAUUUCUACAUGAUCUGGGUUCGUCAACCUUCAGGAAAGGAACUGGAAUGGAUUGCAGUGAGUAGAAACAAAGAUAAUGGUUACUCAGCAGAGUACAGUGCGUCAGUGAAUGGCCGGUUCGCCAUCUCCAGAGAUGAUUCCAAAAACACCCUCUACCUGCAAAUGAACAGCCUGAAAGCUGAGGACACUGCCACUUACUACUGUGCAAGAGUCAAACACAGUGAGAAGACUUCAGUGUGA